AUGAAAACACAAGCAAGCCCGGGCCCCGAUGGUUUUGGCCCGUCCUUCUAUAAAACAUUCUGGCCCUCUAUCAAACAGGAAAGUUUCUCCUUCUUCACACAGUUCCACCAGGGUGUAGCAGAUACAGAGCGUUUAAACCGUGCCCACAUUGCCCUCCUCCCAAAAUCUACCUCUGCAACCUCACCUGACGCCUUUAGGCCCAUAUCCUUGCAAAACUGCCCGGUCAAAGCCAUUGCCAAGGUUCUCACCUCGCGACUUCAACCCUUCAUCCCACUUAUAGUACAUGGUAAUCAAACUGGAUUCAUUCCUGGGAGGAACAUUGUCGAAAACUAUGUCUUUGCAGCAGAUCUUGUGAGCUCUUGCCACUCUCGCAAACGCCCCACCAUGAUCUUCAAACUUGACUUCAGGAAAGCCUUCGACUCGGUUUCCUGGAACGCCCUCGACAAAAUCCUGGCUGUGCAUGGCUUCUCUCAAACUUUUCAUAAUUGGAUUCAGAAUAUGCUCAACACUGGCAAGACUGCCAUCCUCCUAAACGGUAUCCCAGGUCGAUGGAUUCCAUGUAAGAAUGGACUGUGCCAGGGAGACCCGGCCUCCCCCUACCUUUUCUUAAUUGUUGCUGAUCUACUCCAACAACUUAUC
rnacentral:rRNA from 1 species